rnacentral:rRNA from 1 species
UACGUAGGUGGCGAGCGUUAUCCGGAAUGACUGGGCGUAAAGGGAGUGUAGGCGGCCAAUUAAGUUAGAUGUGAAAUCCCACGGCUUAACCGUGGAACUGCAUCUAAAACUGGAUGGCUGGAGUGCAGGAGAGGUGAGCGGAAUUCCUAGUGUAGCGGUGGAAUGCGUAGAUAUUAGGAGGAACACCAGAGGCGAAGGCGGCCGCCUGGCCUGUUGCUGACGCUGAGGCACGAAAGCGUGGGGAGCAAAUAGG